rnacentral:rRNA from 1 species
GAUGAACGCUGGCGGCGUGCCUAAUACAUGCAAGUCGAGCGAACAGACGAGGAGCUUGCUCCUUUGACGUUAGCGGCGGACGGGUGAGUAACACGUGGAUAACCUACCUAUAAGACUGGGAUAACUUCGGGAAACCGGAGCUAAUACCGGAUAACAUGUUGAACCGCAUGGUUCAACAGUGAAAGACGGUCUUGCUGUCACUUAUAGAUGGAUCCGCGCCGCAUUAGCUAGUUGGUAAGGUAACGGCUUACCAAGGCAACGAUGCGUAGCCGACCUGAGAGGGUGAUCGGCCACACUGGAACUGAGACACGGUCCAGACUCCUACGGGAGGCAGCAGUAGGGAAUCUUCCGCAAUGGACGAAAGCCUGACGGAGCAACGCCGCGUGAGUGAAGAAGGUCUUCGGAUCGUAAAACUCUGUUAUUAGGGAAGAACAAAUGUGUAAGUAACUAUGCACGUCUUGACGGUACCUAAUCAGAAAGCCACGGCUAACUACGUG